rnacentral:rRNA from 1 species
CCCUUAGAUGUCCGGGGCUGCACGCGCGCUACACUGAAGGAAUCAGCGUGCUAAAACCAUUGUCGAAAGGCAUUGGUAAACCCAUUAAAAUCCUACGUGAUUGGGAUCGGGAAUUGCAAUCAUUUCCCUUGAACGAGGAAUUCCCAGUAAGUGUGGGUCAUAAGCUCGCGUUGAUUACGUCCCUGCCCUUUGUACACACCGCCCGUCGCUGCCCGGGACUGAGCCGUUUCGAGAAAAGCGGGGACUGCUGCUGUCGGGGCUUUCGGGCCUUGGCUUCGGUGGAAACCGCUUUAAUCGCAGUGGCUUGAACCGGGCAAAAGUCGUAACA